rnacentral:rRNA from 1 species
AUUCGGUGGAUGCCUUGGCACCAGGAGGCGAUGAAGGACGUGGCACGCUGCGAAAAGCCACGGGGAGCCGCGAGCAGGCGUUGAUCCGUGGAUAUCCGAAUGGGGCAACCCACCCCUUUGGGGUAUCGGCAACUGAAUACAUAGGUUGUCGAGGCAAACCCGGGGAACUGAAACAUCUCAGUACCCGGAGGAAAAGACAUCAACAGAGAUUCCGUCAGUAGUGGCGAGCGAAAGCGGAGCAGGCCAGUGGUCAAGCUGGGAUAAGCAGAACGGUCUGGAAAGUCCGGCCAUAGCGGGUGAUAGCCCCGUAUGCGUAAAGACAGUUUGAUCCUUGAGUAAGGCGGGACACGUGAAAUCCUGUCUGAAGAUGGGGGGACCACCCUCCAAGCCUAAAUACUCCCUGGUGACCGAUAGCGAACUAGUACCGUGAGGGAAAGGUGAAAAGUCCCCCGAAAGGGGAGUGAAAGAGACCUGAAACCGGAUGCCUACAAGCAGUCGGAGCUCCUUAUGGAGUGACGGCGUACCUUUUGUAUAAUGGGUCAGCGAGUUUCCGUUCGCGGCAAGCUUAAGCCGAUAGGCGUAGGCGGAGCGAAAGCGAGUCUGAACAGGGCGUUCAGUCGCGGGCGGAAGACCCGAAACCGAGUGAUCUAGCCAUGGCCAGGUUGAAGGUGGGGUAACACCCACUGGAGGACCGAACUCACGCCUGUUGAAAAAGUCGGAGAUGAGCUGUGGCUAGGGGUGAAAGGCCAAUCAAACUCGGAAAUAGCUGGUUCUCCGCGAAAUCUAUUGAGGUAGAUCGUCGGAUGAUUACCCUCGGGGGUAGAGCACUGAAUGGGCUAGGGGGACCCAAAGUCUUACCAAACCCAAUCAAACUCCGAAUACCGAGGAGUACAGUCCGGCAGACAGACGGCGGGUGCUAAGGUCCGUCGUCGAGAGGGAAACAGCCCAGACCACCAGCUAAGGUCCCCAAAUCGUGGCUAAGUGGGAAAGGAUGUGGGAAUUCCAAAACAACCAGGAGGUUGGCUUAGAAGCAGCCAUCCUUUAAAGAAAGCGUAAUAGCUCACUGGUCUAAUAGAAAUCCUGCGCCGAAAAUGUAACGGGGCUCAAGCCACGUACCGAAGCUGUGGGCUCAGGCAACUGAGCGGUAGCGGAGCGUUCCGUAAGCCUGCGAAGCGGGAUCCGUGAGGACCCGUGGAGGUAUCGGAAGUGCGAAUGCUGACAUGAGUAGCGACAAACAGAGUGAGAAACUCUGUCGCCGAAAGUCCAAGGGUUCCCGCGCAAGGUUAAUCCGCGCGGGGUGAGCCGGCCCCUAAGGCGAGGGCGAAAGCCGUAGUCGAUGGGAACCAGGUUAAUAUUCCUGGGCCUGCUGGAAGUGACGAAUUCCGUAGAUCGUACGCUCUUAUUGGAUUGAGCGUGCGGUGAAGGAGUUCCGGGAAAUAACUCCAGCGUAUAGACCGUACCCGAAACCGACACAGGUGGACUGGUAGAGAAUACCUAGGCGCUUGAGCGAACGGCGUUGAAGGAACUAGGCAAAUUGACCCCGUAACUUCGGGAGAAGGGGUACCUUGGCUUGCGCAAGCAGGCCAGGGUGGCACAGACCAGGGGGUAGCGACUGUUUACUAAAAACACAGGACUCUGCGAAGUCAAAAGACGACGUAUAGGGUCUGACGCCUGCCCGGUGCUGGAACGUUAAGAGGAGAGGUGCAAGCCUUGAAUCGAAGCGCCAGUAAACGGCGGCCGUAACUAUAACGGUCCUAAGGUAGCGAAAUUCCUUGUCGGGUAAGUUCCGACCUGCACGAAUGGCGUAACGACUUCCCCGCUGUCUCCAACGUCGGCUCAGUGAAAUUGAACUCUCCGUGAAGAUGCGGAGUACCCGCGGUCAGACGGAAAGACCCCGCCUAUCGUGACUGGGAAAC